GAUGAACGCUAGCUACAGGCUUAACACAUGCAAGUCGAGGGGCAGCAUGUUGGUUGCUUGCAACCAACGAUGGCGACCGGUGCACGGGUGAGUAACGCGUAUCCAACCUUCCGCAUACUCGGGAAUAGCCUUUCGAAAGAAAGAUUAAUGCCCGAUGGUUUCCCGAAUCCGCAUGAGCGCGGGAAUAAAGAUUCAUCGGUAUGCGAUGGGGAUGCGUCCCAUUAGCUUGUUGGCGGGGUAACGGCCCACCAAGGCUACGAUGGGUAGGGGUUCGGAGAGGAAGGUCCCCCACAUUGGAACUGAGACACGGUCCAAACUCCUACGGGAGGCAGCAGUGAGGAAUAUUGGUCAAUGGGCGAGAGCCUGAACCAGCCAAGUAGCGUGAGGGAUGACCGCCCUACGGGUCGUAAACCUCUUUUAUAAGGGAAUAAAGAUAAGUACGCGUACUUAGUUGCAUGUACCUUAUGAAUAAGCAUCGGCUAACUCCGUGCCAGCCGCCGCCGUAA
rnacentral:rRNA from 1 species